UACGUAGGGUGCAAGCGUUGUCCGGAAUUAUUGGGCGUAAAGAGCGUGUAGGCGGCCAGGUAGGUCUGCUGUGAAAACUCGAGGCUCAACCUCGAGACGUCGGCGGAAACCAUCUGGCUAGAGUCCGGAAGAGGAGAGUGGAAUUCCUGGUGUAGCGGUGAAAUGCGCAGAUAUCAGGAAGAACACCCGUGGCGAAGGCGGCUCUCUGGGACGGUACUGACGCUGAGGCACGAAAGCCAGGGGAGCAAACGGG
rnacentral:rRNA from 1 species